rnacentral:rRNA from 1 species
GAUCAUGGCUCAGGAUGAACGCUGGCGGCGUGCUUAACACAUGCAAGUCGAACGAAGCACUUAAGAUUGAUUCUUCGGAUGAAGUCUUUUGUGACUGAGUGGCGGACGGGUGAGUAACGCGUGGGUAACCUGCCUCAUACGGGGGGAUAACAGUUAGAAAUGACUGCUAAUACCGCAUAAGCGCACAGGGUCGCAUGACCUGGUGUGAAAAACUCCGGUGGUAUGAGAUGGACCCG